CCCCCCUCGGCAGUUAUACCGUGAAACUGCGAAUGGCUCAUUAAAUCAGUUAUCGUUUAUUUGAUAAUACCUUACUACUUGGAUAACCGUGGUAAUUCUAGAGCUAAUACAUGCUGAAAAUCCCGACUUCGGAAGGGAUGUGUUUAUUAGAUAAAAAACCAAUGCCCUUCGGGGCUUUUUGGUGAUUCAUGAUAACUUUACGGAUCGCAUAGCCUUGCGCUGGCGACGGUUCAUUCAAAUUUCUGCCCUAUCAACUUUCGAUGGUAAGGUAUUGGCUUACCAUGGUUUCAACGGGUAACGGGGAAUUAGGGUUCGAUUCCGGAGAGGGAGCCUGAGAAACGGCUACCACAUCCAAGGAAGGCAGCAGGCGCGCAAAUUACCCAAUCCCGACACGGGGAGGUAGUGACAAUAAAUACUGAUACAGGGCUCUUUUGGGUCUUGUAAUUGGAAUGAGUACAAUUUAAACCUCUUAACGAGGAACAAUUGGAGGGCAAGUCUGGUGCCAGCAGCCGCGGUAAUUCCAGCUCCAAUAGCGUAUAUUAAAGUUGUUGCAGUUAAAAAGCUCGUAGUUGAAACUUGGGUCUGGCUGGCGGGUCCGCCUCACCGCGUGCACUCGUCCGGCCGGGCCUUCCUUCUGAAGAACCUCAUGCCCUUCACUGGGCGUGUUGGGGAAUCAGGACUUUUACUUUGAAAAAAUUAGAGUGUUCAAAGCAGCCUUUGCUCGAAUACGUUAGCAUGGAAUAAUAAAAUAGGGCGUGCGUUUCUAUUUUGUUGGUUUCUAGAGACGCCGCAAUGAUUAACAGGAACAGUCGGGGGCAUCAGUAUUCAGUUGUCAGAGGUGAAAUUCUUGGAUUUACUGAAGACUAACUACUGCGAAAGCAUUUGCCAAGGAUGUUUUUCAUUAAUCAGUGACGAAAGUUUAGGGAUCGAGACGAUCAGAUACCGUCG
rnacentral:rRNA from 1 species